rnacentral:rRNA from 1 species
GACGAACGCUGGCGGCGUGCCUAAUACAUGCAAGUCGAGCGGACAGAAGGGAGCUUGCUCCCGGAAGUUAGCGGCGGACGGGUGAGUAACACGUGGGCAACCUACCCUGUAGAUCGGGAUAACAUCGAGAAAUCGGUGCUAAUACCGGAUAAUCAUUUGAAGUGCAUGCUUCGAAUGUAAAAGAUGGCUCCGGCUAUCACUACGGGAUGGGCCCGCGGCGCAUUAGCUAGUUGUUAAGGUAAUGGCUUACAAAGGCAACGAUGCGUAGCCGACCUGAGAGGGUGAUCGGCCACACUGGGACUGAGACACGGCCCAGACUCCUACGGGAGGCAGCAGUAGGGAAUCUUCCGCAAUGGACGAAAGUCUGACGGAGCAACGCCGCGUGAGUGAUGAAGGUUUUCGGAUCGUAAAGCUCUGUUGUUAGGGAAGAACAAGUGCCGUUUGAAUAAGGCGGCACCUUGACGGUACCUAACCAGAAAGCCACGGCUAACUACGUGCCAGCAGCCGCGGUAACAC